UUUUUUUUUUUUUCUUUGUCUUUUGUCUUUUUAGGGCCGCUCCUGUGGCAUAUGGAAGUUCCCAGGCUAGGGGUCUGAUAAGAGCUACAGCUGCCGCCCUAUGCGAGAGCCACGGCAACGCCAGUUCCGAGCCACGUCUGCGACCUACACCACAGCUCACAGCAAUGCUGGAUCCUUAACCCACUGAGCAAAGCCAGGGAUUGAACCCGCAACCUCAUGGUUCCUAGUCGGAUUCAUGUCCCCUGCACCAUGACGGGAACUCCUCUAUUAAAUUUCUAACCAUCGUGCGGGAAAAUUAUUCUAAUUACCACAUAAAUUUGUUUUUUCAAGAGGAAAUUGUCUUAGGACUUAUAUACUCUGGAAACCACUACUUAAGAACUAGAAUUCUCUGAGAGGAAAAAAAAAGUCAUGAUGACCCAAAGGAAAAUAAUAUCAACAGUUGAGUAAGUAAUGAUUGUUAUAACUAUUGAGAAAAGGACUUCAUAAUGGCAAAAAUCCCUGGAAAAACUACUAAGCUGACUAAAUACUGAAUGAAAUUUGCACUCUUCAUGAUAAGAUUUAAAAAUAAUAAGAAACUACUUUCUAGAUUUCAUAUGAAAUAAAAGACAAUUUAUAAAGACAUAAAUUAGAGCUGAACUCAGUUUAAGAAUCUUAUUUAGGAAGCAUGAACUUCACUCCAAAAUAAAACCUUAAUGAAUGUGAUAGAAGUUAAUACAAGACUUAAAUGAAGAACCUGGCAAAGGGAUUAAACAUGAAUAUCAUAUCAUGGAUGAAAGGGGAAUCUGCACUUUUUGCUAGGGGACAAGCUAGCUAGGGUAAUUCUACACCUCGAUGUAAGCAUUUCAUUCCCCUAUUCUCUUUCAGAACCUGUUCCCCUGGAGGAAGUCAACUUUCAUAAGCUUAACUUUCAUAUAAGUCAAACUUUCGAACACUAUACAUUGAUAUCCCUAAAUCUUGCCCUUCCCACUCUGAUGUCAGAAUUUUGUGUUUCAGUGCAUAAAUAUUUGCAAUCUGUUAAGACUGCCUUCCAAACAUAGAAGCAUUGUCAUUUUUGUCCCCACAGCAAGGUAGGUACACAAAUACUUUAAUGUUUGAUUGCAUUUUACUCUUGCUAUUUUAUAAAAAUGAGUGGAAACUGAAAAAAAUGCAAAUAACACAUAUGGUAAGAAAUGCAGAGCUCAUAAAUUUCACACAAGUGAAAAAAAGGUAGAGCUCAAGAGUCAUGCCAAAAGUUGCAAUAUUCAAGUGGACAGGUACCAGUCAAACAGGAAAAGAAUUAAAGUGCACCUGUGAAAUAUGAGUUACCAUUAGGAAGCUCUCUAGGAACAGAAGUUUCCCUUUUAAUAUGUAAAGCUGCUGUUCAACUUGUACAUAUUCAACUUCUUUACAUGUUUUCAGGUUUACAUAUAUAUAACAAGAGAGGACUGAAUUCUCAUGCUACUCUGGAUUUCUUCAGUAACCCAAAAAAAGUGAUCUGUAAAACUGAUUUUGCUAUAAGAUAUUAGUGACUUAAUGAGUCAUACCUCUAAGGAAUAUGUGAUUGACUAGUUGAUUUUUUCCAAAUCAUCAAACAUUUAUUGGUUACCUCCUAUAUGCCAGACAUACUCUGGACUCUUGAGUGACACAGACAGAUAAGACAGGGGCCUAACCUGCUUGAGACUCUGAAAUUAGACCCCGACACUGGUGUCUGCACUAUUCCCUACAGGGAUAAGGUAUUUUAUAUAUAUAUAUAUAAAAUAGAGACACUAGGGAUCAGAGAGAAGACAUGGCUGCCCCAGAGCAGAGCCAGGAUUCUGAAUCUGGGGUUCCUAACAUCUAAAUGCCCUUUUAGAAAUUAUGGCUUUAAUAGGAGGAUAUCCACAGAUGAAGGCACUGUGCCACCUGAAUAGAAAAAGGUUAAUUUUUAGGCUGGAAGCCUUAACUGAGAUUUCUCAACUCUUAAGGCAGCUACUCAUUCUUUCCACUUGUGCAAAAGACAUCAGCACUUCUCUCUUCACUGUAUCAGUACAUAUAGUUUUUUUAUGUAAUGAUGCAGGAGCGACACAUUCCUGCAAGAUCAGUUUUUACUAACACUGACUUCUACCCAUCUAGACCCUUGUUUGUAAUCCUGCCUUUUCCAGCCACUUCAUGAUUUUCCUUCUGAUUUCCUUCUCUUUAAGCUUUGUAGAGCCAUCCCUGGCUCGCUCUUCUUUCUGCUGCACUUUCUUCCUCCUCUUUAAAAUUGACCUUUCACUGUUUUUUCUGACCCUGUGAAAUAUUUUCUUUUUCUUUUUGUAGAUUCCAGCCUGAAAGGGAAAAACAUGUUUAACUCACUGCUUUAAGAUAAUAAAAGUGAAACUUUCACUUUCUAUACUUAAUGAUUUAUUAUAUGAUUAAUUCAAGCAAAAAAUAAAGAAUUGAAAGUAAACACAAGGCAAAUUUAUAUGCAUGUUUGGGUGCACUUUAUAACUGUUAUAAAACUACUACAAAGGAGUUCUGUAGUUUUCUCGUUUGGAUUAUUACUACAUACUAACAAAGUGGGAGGAGGGUCAAAUCAGAUAGAAAUGCAAAUGUAAUACUGGGGGGCUUGUUAACCUUUAUCAUAGCUAUGAGUUAAAAUUCAGAUGUCAACAUACACUGAAUAGCCCUUAAUACAUACAGCAGGAACUCAUGAGUAUUACCUUAAAUGGAAAAACAUAGAAGAACCUUCUGCUUGAUUCUUCUGUAGAUCAUUUGAAGGCUCUUACAGGCCUCCCAACCUAAGCAACAUACUUUUUUUUCAUAAGAUAAACAGGUACUGAGAAAUUUCUCACAAAUAAUUCUAUAUGACAUGUUAUCAUAGGUCACUCACCUUUCCAUCAAAACGUUUUAUUAUAAAUUGAUCCAGACCCAAGUCUGUAAAAGAGGGGGAAAAAAAAAACUUAGCCACUGAUUAUAACUCAGGUGAAACAUGAAGUAACGGUUCUCAGUUGUUUCCAAUCACGCAAUAAAAUUUAGAAGAUAGUUUAGCUAUGACACUAUUCAAAUGCCAUAGAAAUUAAAAAUUUCAGACUCAAAGUGUCAGUGCUAAAAGAUUUUAUUUUAUAUAUGAAAAUGAGAAGCUCUGAGAGGAUACAGAGGGUAGAACUUCAUGUGCAAACCUAUUCAAGAACCAGAACCCUGGACUCUUCCCAAGGUGGUACUAUUUUCAUUACAUCAAGAUGAUAUAUUACCUCUAAAUAAGGUGAGGAAGUUUAAUUUGAAUGCACAAUAAUUUUUAUAUAAAGUUAAAGCAAGAAGAGUAUAAUAUCAGAAGACAUUUUACAACACACCUAAACAGAUACAAAUAGACCAUCUUAAUAUUACCUUUUAAAGGUAGGUUAAAGAAUAAAUUUAACAAUGCUUGAGAAUCCCUAGCAUUGUGAAAUCCUAAGCACUGUAAAAGAUAAAAGCAAAUACAUUAAGUGCUCUUGAGGGCUGGGAUUUUUUUGUCAUUGUUGACUGCUUUAUUGCAGAACUGGAAAUAGUGCCUGAUCAAUAAAUACCUUAAAAAAAUUGAAUGAGUAGGAUAGAAUUCCUGCCUUGAAGAAUCACAAUUUAGUUAGAAAGACAUAUGCAUAUACUAAUUAAUUAAUACUACAAGGGAGGAUAAAUAAGUUCAAUAAGAAGGUGCUGUGGGAGUUUUUAGAGUGGAAAAAUCAGUUCCCAAUUAUAAUUAUUUUUCUUGCAUAGUCACUCAGUUCUUUUCUUUCAGUUCUCACUGUACUGAUGCCAGUUCACACCUUUAUCUUACUAUCCCCACAGUAUCACAAUGAUUGGAUUAUCAUCACUCCCCAAGGAAGCUUUCUGUAUCUUUCCUUCUACACGUCUGUUAACACAUUCUCCUUUCUAAAAUGUACUUCACCUGCUAGAAGCCUGCCCUGAACAAAAUGAACCACUGACAGCAAAAGAAAGAGAUAUCAGGAAAAGGGAAAUUUUAAACAACACAAAUCUAAUUUGAAACCUCACAGCCACUGAAGAAGAUAUCACAGUCAUAAAUGUAUACCAUGCCUCUAUGAUAAAAGGAUAGAGAACAAGUAAGAGUUGUAAACAAUUAAAAUUACAAUUGCCUAUCUCCCCCAUUUCUUUUCUCUUUCUUUUUGCUUUUUUAUGGCCACACCCAUGGCAUAUGGAAAUUCCCAGGCUAGGGGUCAAACUGGAGCCACAGACAUGGCCACAGACAGCCACAGCAACGUGGAACCUGAGUCAUGUCUGUGACCUACACUACAGCUCAAGGCAACGCUGGAUCCCCGACCCACUGAGUGACACAAAGGAUCAAAUCCACAUCCUCGUGGAUACUAUUUGGAUCUGCUUCUGCUUUGCCACAAUGGGAACUCCCUCCCCCUAUUUCUUAACAUAUUGUCAAAAGAUUAGGAAAGGUUAUCUCCCAGGACCACUGCUAAAAAGACAACAGGAUGGAAAAUAGAAAAUAUAAGAGGGAAUCGUAGGAAAACAGAGACUCAACAUAAGGUCUAAUGCCAUACAAAACCUUUUCUCAUUCAGAAAUAGGGAGGAAAUAAUCCAAAAAGUAUGAGCAGAAAAUUUUUCGGAGGUGAAGACUAACACAAACUAAAAUGGCUUAUUUAAGCAAAAUGAACAAAACCUACUUGUAAUUCAGUGCAUGCUUAUGAAAUUUCAGAAGACCAAUAAGAAAAUCCUCAGUUUCUAGAAAAACCCUUCCUGUUGCUUUACAAAGGAAUAAGAAUCAGACUAGGAUCAGGUAUUUCAUAAGUAAAACCUGGCACAUCAACUAAGAGAAAUAUAUGGUUGCUAAUUGGAGCAGCACUGUCUAAGAAUCAUAAUGUAAGAAAUAAAUGUAAGCCACAUGUAUAAUGAAAACUUUUUUUUUCUUUUUAUGACUGCACCUGUGGCAUAUGGAAGUUCCUGAGCUAGGGGUUCAACUGGAGCUGCAGCUGCAGCUGCAGCUGCAGCUGCAAGCCUAUGCCACAGCCACAGAAGUACCAGAUCCCAGACACAUCUGUGAUCUAUGAACAGCUUGUGGAAACACUGGAUCCUUAACCCAUAGAGCGAGACCAGGGAUUGAACCUGCAUCCUAAUGGGUUUUAUGUUGGGUUCUUAACAUACUGAGCCACAAUGGGAACUCCUAAAAAUUUUCUAACAGUCACGUUUCAAAAAAUAAAAAGAAACAGGUAAAAUUAAUUUAAAAUUUAUUUUAAUUAGCUUAAUAUACCCAAAUUAGCAUUAUUUCACCAUGUAAUCAAUAUAAAACGAGAUAUUUUACAUUAUUUUUAUAUUAAUUUUGUAAUAUCUGGUAUGUACUUAACAUUUAUGGCACACUUCAAUUCAAAGAAACCACAUUUCAAGUUAUUAGGAUGACAUCUAAAAGAAAUCAAAUGUUAACUUAAAAACUUUUAUUUAUUUAUUUAUUUAUUUAUUUAGUCUUUUUGCCUUUUCUAGGGCCGCUCUCUUGGCACAUGGAGGUUCCCAGGCUAGGGGUUGAAUUGGAGCUGUAGCCACCGGAGCAGCCCUAGAAAUGGAAAAAAAAAUAAAAAUAAAAAUAAAAAUAGAAAUAAAAGGAGGCUUGUUUUAGAAGACAGCAACUCAUUCUGUUAAAAGACAAAAGUGAAAGUGAAUCAAUAUAUUAUUUUAAUAUCUAUAAAUUAGAGCUUAGGUAAAUAGAAACUCUAUAAAUUUUACUAAAGAAGUCACAGCUAUCUCUCAAAAAUUUAGAGAUUCACUUUUUUCAGCUUAAUGUUAUAAUUUAUCCUAAAAUUUUAUUAAAAUAUUAUACUCUCAGCUAAUAUAAGCCAGCAAAAAAAAAGUACAGCUCAAGUUUAUUGGAUAUGAGAGAGAAGUUUUUUUUGUUUGUUUUUCAGGGUCGAACCCACAACAUAUGGAGGUUCCCAGGCUAGGGGUCAAAUCUGAACUAAAGCUGCUGGCCUAUGCCACAACCACAACAACAACAACACAGGAUCAGAACCAUGUCUGCGACCUACACCACAGCUCAGCAAUGCCAGAUCCUUAGCCCAUUGAGCAGGCCAGGAACUGAACUCACAACCUCAUAGUUACUAGUCAGAUUCGUUUGCACUGUGCCACAACAGGAACUCUGAGAGAUAAGUUUUUUAAAAAUCAAACUGCUGAAAACCAAAGGCAAAGAAAAAAAAUCUUUGAAGCAAUCAGUUUAAAAUGCUGAAAGAAAAGAACUUAAACCCAGAAUUUUUUAUUUAGUGAAAAUAUUCUUCAACAAUGAAGGUAAAAUAAAAAUGUUUCCAGAUGAAGGAAAACAGAGAGAAUUCACCAGCAGGACAAGUCUAAUAGAUGUUCUACUCUUCAAGGGGGAAGAAAAUGAUAUCAGAGAGAAAUAUGAAACUUAAGGAAUAAGAAAGAGCAACAGAAAUGGUUAAUAUCUAGCUAUAUACAACAGACUCUUUUCUCCUCUUAAGUCCUUUACAGACAGUUGAAAUAAAAACUUAAGGCAAUGUCUGGCAGAGUAUUCAAUAUAUGCAGAUGUAAUACAUGAGACUAUACUAUAAACUGGGGAGAAACCUCCUUAGUGGUAAGACAUAAAGAGUCCACUCGGAGAGGACAAGAUGGCGGAGGAGUAGGGGGACAUG
rnacentral:lncRNA from 1 species